rnacentral:rRNA from 1 species
GGGUUGUGAGGUUAAGCGACUAAGCGUACACGGUGGAUGCCCUGGCAGUCAGAGGCGAUGAAGGACGUGCUAAUCUGCGAUAAGCGUCGGUAAGGUGAUAUGAACCGUUAUAACCGGCGAUUUCCGAAUGGGGAAACCCAGUGUGUUUCGACACACUAUCAUUAACUGAAUCCAUAGGUUAAUGAGGCGAACCGGGGGAACUGAAACAUCUAAGUACCCCGAGGAAAAGAAAUCAACCGAGAUUCCCCCAGUAGCGGCGAGCGAACGGGGAGCAGCCCAGAGCCUGAAUCAGUGUGUGUGUUAGUGGAAGCGUCUGGAAAGGCGCGCGAUACAGGGUGACAGCCCCGUACACAAAAAUGCACAUACUGUGAGCUCGAUGAGUAGGGCGGGACACGUGGUAUCCUGUCUGAAUAUGGGGGGACCAUCCUCCAAGGCUAAAUACUCCUGACUGACCGAUAGUGAACCAGUACCGUGAGGGAAAGGCGAAAAGAACCCCGGCGAGGGGAGUGAAAAAGAACCUGAAACCGUGUACGUACAAGCAGUGGGAGCCUCUUUAUGGGGUGACUGCGUACCUUUUGUAUAAUGGGUCAGCGACUUAUAUUCUGUAGCAAGGUUAACCGAAUAGGGGAGCCGAAGGGAAACCGAGUCUUAACUGGGCGUUAAGUUGCAGGGUAUAGACCCGAAACCCGGUGAUCUAGCCAUGGGCAGGUUGAAGGUUGGGUAACACUAACUGGAGGACCGAACCGACUAAUGUUGAAAAAUUAGCGGAUGACUUGUGGCUGGGGGUGAAAGGCCAAUCAAACCGGGAGAUAGCUGGUUCUCCCCGAAAGCUAUUUAGGUAGCGCCUCGUGAAUUCAUCUCCGGGGGUAGAGCACUGUUUCGGCAAGGGGGUCAUCCCGACUUACCAACCCGAUGCAAACUGCGAAUACCGGAGAAUGUUAUCACGGGAGACACACGGCGGGUGCUAACGUCCGUCGUGAAGAGGGAAACAACCCAGACCGCCAGCUAAGGUCCCAAAGUCAUGGUUAAGUGGGAAACGAUGUGGGAAGGCCCAGACAGCCAGGAUGUUGGCUUAGAAGCAGCCAUCAUUUAAAGAAAGCGUAAUAGCUCACUGGUCGAGUCGGCCUGCGCGGAAGAUGUAACGGGGCUAAACCAUGCACCGAAGCUGCGGCAGCGACGCUUAUGCGUUGUUGGGUAGGGGAGCGUUCUGUAAGCCUGUGAAGGUGUGCUGUGAGGCAUGCUGGAGGUAUCAGAAGUGCGAAUGCUGACAUAAGUAACGAUAAAGCGGGUGAAAAGCCCGCUCGCCGGAAGACCAAGGGUUCCUGUCCAACGUUAAUCGGGGCAGGGUGAGUCGACCCCUAAGGCGAGGCCGAAAGGCGUAGUCGAUGGGAAACAGGUUAAUAUUCCUGUACUUGGUGUUACUGCGAAGGGGGGACGGAGAAGGCUAUGUUGGCCGGGCGACGGUUGUCCCGGUUUAAGCGUGUAGGCUGGUUUUCCAGGCAAAUCCGGAAAAUCAAGGCUGAGGCGUGAUGACGAGGCACUACGGUGCUGAAGCAACAAAUGCCCUGCUUCCAGGAAAAGCCUCUAAGCAUCAGGUAACAUCAAAUCGUACCCCAAACCGACACAGGUGGUCAGGUAGAGAAUACCAAGGCGCUUGAGAGAACUCGGGUGAAGGAACUAGGCAAAAUGGUGCCGUAACUUCGGGAGAAGGCACGCUGAUAUGUAGGUGAAGUCCCUCGCGGAUGGAGCUGAAAUCAGUCGAAGAUACCAGCUGGCUGCAACUGUUUAUUAAAAACACAGCACUGUGCAAACACGAAAGUGGACGUAUACGGUGUGACGCCUGCCCGGUGCCGGAAGGUUAAUUGAUGGGGUCAGCGCAAGCGAAGCUCUUGAUCGAAGCCCCGGUAAACGGCGGCCGUAACUAUAACGGUCCUAAGGUAGCGAAAUUCCUUGUCGGGUAAGUUCCGACCUGCACGAAUGGCGUAAUGAUGGCCAGGCUGUCUCCACCCGAGACUCAGUGAAAUUGAACUCGCUGUGAAGAUGCAGUGUACCCGCGGCAAGACGGAAAGACCCCGUGAACCUUUACUAUAGCUUGACACUGAACAUUGAGCCUUGAUGUGUAGGAUAGGUGGGAGGCUUAGAAGUGUGGACGCCAGUCUGCAUGGAGCCGACCUUGAAAUACCACCCUUUAAUGUUUGAUGUUCUAACGUUGACCCGUAAUCCGGGUUGCGGACAGUGUCUGGUGGGUAGUUUGACUGGGGCGGUCUCCUCCUAAAGAGUAACGGAGGAGCACGAAGGUUGGCUAAUCCUGGUCGGACAUCAGGAGGUUAGUGCAAUGGCAUAAGCCAGCUUGACUGCGAGCGUGACGGCGCGAGCAGGUGCGAAAGCAGGUCAUAGUGAUCCGGUGGUUCUGAAUGGAAGGGCCAUCGCUCAACGGAUAAAAGGUACUCCGGGGAUAACAGGCUGAUACCGCCCAAGAGUUCAUAUCGACGGCGGUGUUUGGCACCUCGAUGUCGGCUCAUCACAUCCUGGGGCUGAAGUAGGUCCCAAGGGUAUGGCUGUUCGCCAUUUAAAGUGGUACGCGAGCUGGGUUUAGAACGUCGUGAGACAGUUCGGUCCCUAUCUGCCGUGGGCGCUGGAGAACUGAGGGGGGCUGCUCCUAGUACGAGAGGACCGGAGUGGACGCAUCACUGGUGUUCGGGUUGUCAUGCCAAUGGCACUGCCCGGUAGCUAAAUGCGGAAGAGAUAAGUGCUGAAAGCAUCUAAGCACGAAACUUGCCCCGAGAUGAGUUCUCCCUGACUCCUUGAGAGUCCUGAAGGAACGUUGAAGACGACGACGUUGAUAGGCCGGGUGUGUAAGCGCAGCGAUGCGUUGAGCUAACCGGUACUAAUGAACCGUGAGGCUUAACCUUACAACGCCGAAGCUGUU